ensembl:lncRNA
AAGCACCUUAACAGGUGAUGGCACCCCACUCCAGUACUCUUGCCUGGAAAAUCCCAUGGACGGAGGAGCUUGAUGAAGAAAAUGAUAUGGUUGAGAACAUUCAAAAAGGAAGGACAUUUAAAAGGAAGGACAUCAUCAAAGGUGUCAGAGGAGGGCAUCCAAGUGACUUGUCAUUUUCUGCCCUGGAAUUCUGACUAACAUGAGGUCAUCAAUAUAGUGGACCAAUAUGACCUGUCGAGGAAUGUCCAGAUGAUCAACUUACCUCUUUUUAAUGGCAUCAGUUCAGUUCAGUUCAGUCGCUCAGUCGUGUCCGACUCUUUGCGACCCCAUGAAUUGCAGCAUGCCAGGCCUCCCUGUCCAUCACCAACUCCUGGAGUUCACUCAGACUCACGUCCAUCGAGUCCGUGAUGCCAUCCAGCCAUCUCAUCCUCUGUCGUCCCCUUCUCCUCCUGCCCCCAAUCCCUCCCAGCAUCAGAGUCUUUUCCAAUGAGUCAACUCUUCGCAUGAGGUGGCCAAAGUACUGGAGUUUCAGCUUUAGCAUCAUUCCUUCC